AGUGAACGCUGGCGGUAGGCCUAACACAUGCAAGUCGAACGGCAGCACAGUAAGAGCUUGCUCUUACGGGUGGCGAGUGGCGGACGGGUGAGGAAUACAUCGGAAUCUACUUUUUCGUGGGGGAUAACGUAGGGAAACUUACGCUAAUACCGCAUACGACCUACGGGUGAAAGCAGGGGAUCUUCGGACCUUGCGCGAUUGAAUGAGCCGAUGUCGGAUUAGCUAGUUGGCGGGGUAAAGGCCCACCAAGGCGACGAUCCGUAGCUGGUCUGAGAGGAUGAUCAGCCACACUGGAACUGAGACACGGUCCAGACUCCUACGGGAGGCAGCAGUGGGGAAUAUUGGACAAUGGGCGCAAGCCUGAUCCAGCCAUACCGCGUGGGUGAAGAAGGCCUUCGGGUUGUAAAGCCCUUUUGUCGGGAAAGAAAUCCAGCCGGCUAAUACCUGGUUGGGAUGACGGUACCCAAAGAAUAAGCACCGGCUAACUUCGUG
rnacentral:rRNA from 1 species